rnacentral:rRNA from 1 species
UACGGGGGGAGCAAGCGUUGUUCGGAUUUACUGGGCGUAAAGGGCGCGUAGGCGGUCAGCACAAGUCAGUUGUGAAAUCUCCGGGCUUAACUCGGAAAGGUCAACUGAUACUGUGCGACUAGAGUGCAGAAGGGGCAACUGGAAUUCUCGGUGUAGCGGUGAAAUGCGUAGAUAUCGGAAGGAACAUCAGUGGCGAAAGCGGCUUCCUGGACCAGUACCGACGUUCAGGCACGAAAGCGUGGGGAGCAAACAGG